UUCAUAUAAAAAUGUAUCGUGGACGAAAGGCCUGAGACAUAUCUGGCGAAUUAUAAACAAUGUCGCGAGAAAGCCGAUGUCGACAGGCCCAACAAUGUAUCGUCCUUCGAUCGAAUAGUUUCGCGGAAAAGGCCUGCGUGACCCUGGCCACGAGCGGCUGCGGAACACGUGCGUGGUGGGGCUAACACAAAGGACAAAGAGAUGCUAAGGGAGAAAGACGAAUUAAGAGUCAGUGUUGGUUGAGAAGUCAAAGAGUGUAAAUCGAGAAGUCAGAGAGUGCGAACUGCGUUGUCAAGAGAGUGUUGCCAGCGUUGUCGUGAGAGCGUGGUCCGUGUAAGAGAGAGCGUUGAAUCCGUGGUAACGAGAGUUGCAAAUUAAC